CCGGCGACCGGCGCACGGGUGAGUAACACGUAUGCAACCUGGCCGUGACAGAUGGAUAACCGGGAGAAAUCCCGCCUAAUACAACAUAAUGCCCGGAGGGGACAUCCCCUGCCGGUCAAAGGGGGCGACCCCGGUCAUGGAUGGGCAUGCGGCGCAUUAGGUAGUUGGUGGGGCAACGGCCCACCAAGCCGACGAUGCGUAGGGGUUCUGAGAGGAAGGUCCCCCACAUUGGAACUGAGACACGGUCCAAACUCCUACGGAAGGCAGCAG
rnacentral:rRNA from 1 species